AAAUAAAUUAUUGACAUAAUUAAUUAUUCAUGUUACAAUUUGACAAUAUAGAUAAACCUUAAUCUUUCUUUGCAAUUGUCAUGUGGGAAUCAUGAUUAAUUAUUUUAUUUUAACAUAAUUUUAAUUUAUUUUAUAUGGUAAUUUAAUAUUUUUAUAUGGAGAUCAUUACACAAAUAAUAUGGUCUGCAGUGCAAUUGGCAAAUAAUGCUACAAGCAUUAGAUAGAUCCAGGUUUGAGUCUCCUAGCAAGCAACCUUCCUAAUUUUUCACUGGUUUCUUGCCAGUUCACACUUGUGACUCGUCAACUUCGGUUUUCAGAGAAAGAGGGUUUUACACUUGAACUGGACUUGUCAUUGAUCCGUUUCCCUGUGCAACUGGCUGGUCCGGUCUAGUUCUGACAACAAUGGUUUCAGAUGUUUUAAAAUGAUUUUCUUUAUGAUUUAUUUUUCUUAUUAUUAUUUUUCAAAGCAUUAUUGCUGAGGCUAAUCUUUUAUAUUCAUUAUUUGUUUUUACUUGAGCUUUUGUGAAGUUUCAAUGUAAUUUGCUUUUCCCAUUGGUGGUUUGUUAUUCACAUGUGUACUGAUCUGUUUGUGCUACCAUAUUUAACUUUUCCAGUUGCUUGUUUGCUGAGUUGAAAAAUCACAUCAGUUAAAAUCAAUGAUCGUGGUUGUGACAUGUUCAUUUUGGGUUGUGUUGUUUUCGGAGAUCAGUAUUUCUUGAAAAAAAGCAUAUGGGAAUGAACACCUGCUGCGUCUCUCAUUUAUUUAUUUAUUUAUUUUAGAACUGUUUUUAUGCUUUUGAAUUCACGGCUCUUUAUAGUAUUUACUGUUUUAAAAUGAGUUGAAAUGGUUCAUCAUAUUAUUUGACUGUGUUGGUUUAUAGGAAGGUGAAGCUGCUACUGAGGAAGCGAAGAAGAGUAACCAUGUCUUGAGAAAGCUGGAGAAGAGA
rnacentral:misc_RNA from 1 species